CUAAGAAUAUUCCGCAAUGGACGAAAGUCUGACGGAGCGACGCCGCGUGGAUGAUGAAGGCCGAAAGGUUGUAAAGUUCUUUUACUGGGGAAGAAUAAGCCUGGGAGGGAAUGCCCGGGUGAUGACAUGAACCGGUGAAUAAGCCCCGGCCAACUACGUGCCAGCAGCCGCGGUAACACGUAGGGGGCGAGCGUUGUUCGGAAUUACUGGGCGUAAAGGGCAUGUAGGCGGUCUGGUAAGCCUGGCGUGAAAGUCUGCAGCUUAACUGCAGGAAUGCGCUGGGAACUGCUGGGCUUGAGUGACGGAGAGGGAGCUGGAAUUCCUGGUGUAGGGGUGAAAUCUGUAGAUAUCAGGAAGAACACCGAUGGCGAAGGCAAGCUCCUGGCCGAUGACUGACGCUGAGGUGCGAAAGUGUGGGGAUCAAACAGGAUUAGAUACCCUGGUAGUCACACAGUAAACGAUGUGCACUAGGUGCUGGGGCGGUAGCUUCAGUGCCGGAGCGAACGUGGUAAGUGCACCGCCUGGGGAGUAUGCUC
rnacentral:rRNA from 1 species